rnacentral:rRNA from 1 species
CUGCCAAGGGCAUGGCUGGGUAGCUAUGUACGGAAUGGAUAAGCGCUGAAAGCAUCUAAGCGCGAAGCCAACUUCAAGAUAAGAUUUCCCACCGCAAGGGUAAGACUCCAGAAAGACUAUCUGGUUGAUAGGUCGAAGGUGUAAGUGCAGCAAUGUAUUUAGCUUAUCGAUACUAAUAGGUCGAGGACUUGACCAAUAUUUAUU